GCUCGACGCACGCGCCAAACACAAAAAAACGGUCAGGGGUAGUUUUUGAGGAAAAUAUAAAUAACAAAAAAAUACGCUGUUGAAAAAGAUGGGUUAAUGGAUGGAAAGCACAUCGGUUGUUUGUUUUAAAAAGUGAUGCUUCUCGUUGUCUUCUUUACUGUUUUUUCUUCUUCUCUAUCUACCUCC
rnacentral:ribozyme from 1 species